UACAGAGGUCUCAAGCGUUGUUCGGAUUCAUUGGGCGUAAAGGGUGCGUAGGUGGCAGGGUAAGUCGGAUGUGAAAUCCCGGGGCUCAACCUCGGAACUGCAUUCGAUACUGCUUUGCUGGAGUACUGGAGAGGAGAUUGGAAUUUACGGUGUAGCAGUGAAAUGCGUAGAUAUCGUAAGGAAGACCAGUGGCGAAGGCGGAUCUCUGGACAGUGACGUGACGCUGAGACGCGAAAGCGUGGGGAGCAAACAGG
rnacentral:rRNA from 1 species